UUCCAGGUAAUGGAGAUUAACAGCUGGUGUCACGAAUAUUUCCCGGAUCCUCUGCUUGGUGUCGCGGCUCUUGCUCUACUUUCCAAGGAAUUAAAGGACCGUGAUCGCCCACAAUAAAACAUGGUCUGCUAAAACAAGAUGGCGGCUGACAAAACACAUUGGGCAAGGCUUGAGAGCCUUGAAAUAUUGUAGUUUUCGCAGUAAUUGAGGAACCAUGCCAUAAUGGGAGAUGGACUAGAGAUGAGGAGAAAUUUUUGACAGUUUGUGGAGAGCAGGGGGGUGGAAAAUAUCAAAUACAAAGAGUGGAAGGACUGUGCCGAAGACCAGAGAAAUGGGUGUACAGACUGAUGUAACUUUUGGGCCUAUGUUUGAAGUGACCUGGGCAUGUAGCAGUCAGGCACUUUAUACCACUCAUUCACAUUCCUUAAUUAGAUCUAUGUUAUCAAAUGUAUCAGUCAGUGAACCAGCCUCACCCGCCAUACGCUCACAGACCUGCCAUGUCUCUGACAUACCGUCAACCGAUGCCACUUCUCCGUUGGUGCCCGAACAAAACUACUCGCAACCAUAUACAGUCAGUGAACCAGCCGCACCUGCUAUAUGCUCACAAACCUGCCAUGUCUCUGACAUACCGUCAACUGAUGCCACUUCUCCGUUGGUGCCUAAACAAAACUGCUUGCAACCACUUACAGUCAGUGAACCAGCCUCACCAGUUGUCUGUUGUUCAAUUAUGCUUCAGCAUAACUAAGCAAAUCAAAAGAGAACUCAAAUCUUAUCAAAGUAAAAGAUUAAAAGGCAGAAAAAAAAAAUGGCAAUUGGCAGAAUUUCUUACCCACCAAUCAAGAAAUGUUCCUGGAAGAGUAUCUUUGACUCAUCUGGUCAAACUGGUAUUCAUGUACAACAAAAUGAAUAAAUGCUCAAUUAUCGCAUUAAGAUAUUUCUUUGCCAUUUGGCAUGGAUACUUUCACAAGUUCAGGAAAAAGCUGAGAUGGGUUAUCAAUUUGCAAAUGUUUGUUAAUGAGGUUACUGUUAACUGGUUGUAUAUUUUCACCAUAUAUUUGGGGCCAUUGAAAUUGGAUUGUGUGAUAUUAAUUCUAUGAUCAUGUUGUACUGUUGUUUUGUGCAGUAUCGAAGAAAGAUAUUUCAGUGUUAUAACUAUUUAUUCUUGUAACUAAUAUCAAUCCCAGCUGUAUUUCGUGGCAAAAACAUACCUAUUCUGUGACUAGAAUUUCACUUUCACAAUUGUUUUUAGUGACAGUGUUGAUUGAUGAUCACUAGUGUAAACAUACAGACAUAAGCAAUAAUACAUAAUUCAUAUUUACUGUGAAACAAAAUCAGGAUAUUGAGUUUAUGUUACCAUUUCUCAAACGAAAAAUGUUUAAAAGACUGUUUGUAAAUUGUUUUUACGUUUCCAUUUGUCAUACUAAACUUGGCAUUUAAGAACAAUAUGUUUUCUAAACAUUGGUGAAUGGAGAAUAAGAAAAGUAAGCAAUUUUUUCUAUGAUUUCACUAACAAAUGUGAUUAUUAUCACAUAUUUUAAGAGUUGAUGAGAUUAAUGGUAACUGUUUAAAUUUGGGAUUUGUCACGUCAUUAUUAUUUGUAACUACGGUAACCUCUGUAAUUGUCAAAGUGCUUCGCUACAUGAAUUGCCUUAGCUUAUCAAACCAUACUGUAGAUUGUACAUGUUGUAGUGUGUAUAUUGGAAAAUAUAUUGAAAGAUUUCUGAGUGCAAUUGUUGUGGUGUUAAUUUUCUUCUUGAGAUGACUGUAUACUGUACUAGUACUACUACUUUGGAUGUACUUCACAUUUCCAAUAGCAUUAAGAAUAUUAUUAAAUUCAUAUGUAUGUAUGUGUGAAACUAUUGAACUACAUUGUACAUGGAAAACAUCAUUUUUGUCCAGUGGUCAACCAUGUGCAGAAAGUCUAAUAACAAAUAUUCUAUAACCCUUUUGGGAGGUAUUUUCCCUUUUGACCCUUGUAAGUAAUGUUGAUGCCCUUUAGAUUAUAGGUUGCUGCAUUGUAUGCAAAACCACAGACCUAUAUACAAGUUAUACAAGUCCAUGGCUAUACUUAAUCUUAGAUCUCCAUGUCUACAUCAGUGUAAUCAAAUGACUCAAUGUACUAAAUGUUAGUUGGGAUACUAUUAAAUAGAUUUAAUAGAGAUUAGGGAAAUGUUUCCGAAACAUGUCAAGUUUUCAUAAAUUGGGUAUCAACAAAGUGUAUCGAUACCUCGCUGGUGUAUACUGUUUUGUUUAUAAAUCUAUUUUGAUUGCAAAUUUCACCUGCCAGGAGUUGCAGCUGCAAUUAGAGGAUUCACUAUGCACAAAGCCUGCUGAAUUUCAUACUGGGCUCUAAGGAUUGCACGUAAAUCCCCUACUUUGAGAAAGGCUGGUCGAAAGUUAGAUUUCCCCCAUGAUAUGACACAAUGCGCCUCAUCAACAAUAAUGUGACUGAUCUGAAAUUUGAAUAUGGGGUGAGGAUAAUGGGACACAGUACACUAAGACAUUUUUAUUUAUAGAAAACAUUUAACAAAAUGUGCAAUAAAAUAAUCACUACAACAA
rnacentral:lncRNA from 1 species